AACGCACAUUGCGCCCGUUAGUAUUCUAGCGGGCAUGCCUGUUCGAGCGUCAUUGCAACCCUCAGAGCCCCGCGCUCUGGUGCUGGGGCGCUACAGCGCAUUGCUGUAGGCCCUGAAAGGCGCUGGCGGAACCGGCGCGUGCCGAGCGUAGUAGAACUUCUCGCUCCGGCGGCGCGCUGCGUGCCCGGCCACAAACCUGGGAGCUCGCUCCAUCCACUGGUUGACCUCGGAUCAGGUAGGAAUACCCGCUGAACUUAA
rnacentral:misc_RNA from 1 species